GGGUACAGGUGCAGAGUGCAGGUGUAGGGUACAGGUGCAGAGUGCAGGUGUAGGGUACAGGUGCAGAGUGCAGGUGUAGGGUACAGGUGCAGAGUGCAGGUGUAGGGUACAGGUGCAGAGUGCAGGUGUAGGGUACAGGUGCAGAGUGCAGGUGUAGGGUACAGGUGCAGAGUGCAGGUGUAGGGUACAGGUGUAGAGUGCAGGUGUA